UUUGUACCACGAAAGAUCACUUAUAUAAAGGCUGUGAUAUGGACAGCAAGUUUCUACCCAGUUACCGUAAAUGACUGGACUAUGAGUGAGAGUAACGUUUUA
rnacentral:ncRNA from 2 species